rnacentral:ncRNA from 1 species
GUGCUUCUGGAGCGUGACGGUCAUGGCCGCCACGACAGUAAGUUUGAUCUGGUCUUGCCGCUGGGAGGCUGCGCGUCUGACGACGUUUGCGGCCACCCACCGCCACCACGCAUUUACAGAAACCGCACGCCGUUUGGCGUGUAGGUCUGGCGCAGUUUCCGCAACGGGCAACCGAUGCGGCGAUGUAGAUAGCAAGAAUUACCA